AUGGCCUCGGGCACCAGGGGAAUCUGCCAAUACCCCUUACAUAGAUCAAUGGUCGUGAGGUAGUGACCUCUAGCCGUCCUGUCCAGUAAUUCCUCUAUCCGGGGCAUAGGGUAUGCAUCGGAUACCGUCUUUUCGUUUAACCUCCUGUAAUCCACGCAGAAGCGAGUUGUGCCAUCUCGCUUGGGUACGAGGACUACAGGGGAGGCCCAGGGGCUGACGGUUCAAUCACCCCUGGGUGGAACAUAUCCUCAAUCUCUUUACGCAUGUUUUCCUUCACCGCUUCAGGGAUGCGAUACGGGGUUUGGCGCAUGGGGAGCUGUCCUGGG